UGGGGAAUUUUGGACAAUGGGGGAAACCCUGAUCCAGCCAUCCCGCGUGUGCGAUGAAGGCCUUCGGGUUGUAAAGCACUUUUGGCAGGAAAGAAACGUCAUGGGUUAAUACCCCGUGAAACUGACGGUACCUGCAGAAUAAGCACCGGCUAACUACGUGCCAGCAGCCGCGGUAAUACGUAGGGUGCAAGCGUUAAUCGGAAUUACUGGGCGUAAAGCGUGCGCAGGCGGUUCGGAAAGAAAGAUGUGAAAUCCCAGAGCUCAACUUUGGAACUGCAUUUUUAACUACCGGGCUAGAGUGUGUCAGAGGGAGGUGGAAUUCCGCGUGUAGCAGUGAAAUGCGUAGAUAUGCGGAGGAACACCGAUGGCGAAGGCAGCCUCCUGGGAUAACACUGACGCUCAUGCACGAUAGCGUGGGGAGCAAACAGG
rnacentral:rRNA from 1 species